CUGAGAUCCGUCAUAGCGAAGCUGAAGUCUCCCAACUUUGUUCCCGAGUGAGGAAUUAACAGACUUCAGCAUCUGAUGGGAUUUCAGACACGCCACAGAAGCCAAACCUCAGCAAUCCGGGCACGUAGUUUAUAGAUUGAGACGCGUUUGAUCUGCCGGCGUGGCAAUUAGCCGAGGAUGAAGCACCUGAGAGCUGAGAGCAGCAGAGACUGGAGUUAAUGGGACGAGAUGAACGGAGUCGCCGCGGGACGCGCUCGCUUCUGCUGCCCGAGCAUCAGUCACACACACAAACACACACCGCAUGGAGAACACGUGCCGUCUGCUCUCGACGGCGCAGAGGCGCUUUGAUGGAUGCAUGUGAUCGUUCUGCAUCAGAGACAAGCGUAUUUCAGCAUGUCGGGCCUCAGGGCGUCAUUAUGACCCUCGUUUGAUGAGAAACGUGUCCGUCUGUGGAUGUUUAACAGCACACAUCAAG